rnacentral:antisense_RNA from 1 species
CCUCUUUAGGCCACGGAGCCGCGCAGAUCCGGUUCCCGGGUGACCACUCUGUCGCCAUUGGGCGAGACCUACCUAGUCCUGACGACAACGGACAAAGGCCUUAAGGGGCCUGGAAGGGAUAUGAUAUUGAAGCACGUGACAAGUUGGUGAUUUCAGCAGUGGUUUCUCCCGUCUAUAGAAACUCUCCAGCAGACGGCAAUUUUCCACCUUCCUGUAUAAAACCAGAAUCCUCUCACCUGACAGAAAUCUCUCUCUCCAGAUGCUGCAAAGCCAGCACAGAUCAUCUUCUCUGUGAUCCCUCCUGGAUGGGCGGAAUAAAAGAAGAGGGGCUGAAGCGGACACUGCUUGAUAUCAUUUACAUGACCUAUUUUCAGAAAUAACAACUGGCAUUAAUGUUUAUGCAACAAAAAAUGCUUACCUGCACUGAUGCUUCCCCAUCCGGUCACAGCACAGAUCUCCGAGGAAAACAGAGGCUCUGUGCUGUGUGGGAGACAUACUGGCCUCACCACCGAGUUGUACUCCAGAGGAGAGCUUAGUUGUAUUAGGGCGAUGUCAGAGUCAUAACUUAGUGUGUUAAAGUCUUCAUGCACUAUUAUGUGUUUGGCCCUUCUCACCUGUAUCAGUGGCAAGUAAGCAAAUUACAAUGUAAGAAA